AACGAACGCUGGCGGCAUGCCUAACACAUGCAAGUCGAACGAGACCUUCGGGUCUAGUGGCGCACGGGUGCGUAACGCGUGGGAACCUGCCUUUAGGUUCGGAAUAACAGUGAGAAAUUACUGCUAAUACCGGAUGAUGUCUUCGGACCAAAGAUUUAUCGCCUUUAGAUGGGCCCGCGUUGGAUUAGCUAGUUGGUGGGUAAAGCCUACCAAGGCGACGAUCCAUAGCUGGUCUGAGAGGAUGAUCAGCCACACUGGGACUGAGACACGGCCCAGACUCCUACGGGAGGCAGCAGUGGGGAAUUUUGGGACAAUGGACGCAAGUCUGAUCCAGCCAUUCCGCGUGCAGGAUGAAGGCCCUCGGGUU
rnacentral:rRNA from 1 species